rnacentral:lncRNA from 1 species
AUGAAACUUGUGAGUGGUGGAAUACAAACCGAAGCUCCCAUGUCCUUGAGCCACACCCUGAACAUUCUGGAAGCUAUGCACAGAGGCGCUGGACUUCACCACAUUCUCAUGGCUCACUGUUACCUAAGGAGCAGCAAGUUCAUUGCAACUGCUCUGGACACCUGGCAGAGGAGCUUAACGACACGUAAAGAGCAAUCUUCGUUAUUGCCAAAGAAUAGCUGCCAUGGCCAUCUUGAUUAAUAAAUGAAAGCCAAAAAUAAAAGAAAGAAAAACAUAAAGUCUCUGAGUCAUGUCCCUCUCUUUGUGACCCCAUGAACUAUAGCCCAUCAGACUCCUCUGCCCAUGGAAUUCUCCAGCCAAGGAUACUGGAGUGGGUUGCCAUUUUCUUCUCCAGGGGAUCUUCCUGACCCAGGGAUCGAACCUAGGUCUCCUGCAUUGCAGGCAGUUUCUUUACCAUCUGAGCCACCGGGGAACCCAGACUUAUAUAUGAGAAAUUAUUAAACCAUAAUUGCAGAAGUUAAACUAUCCAAAUAUUGUUGAUUUACGUUUAGGUUUACAUGUCUGUUGAUAUGAUUCUCUUCAUUAAAUGAAAAGUUCCUGUCUCUUUUUGGUAAAGUUGAUGUCAUAUAGCAAAGUCAGAUUUGGGAAUAUCCCAACUUCUCUGUCUUUGCAUUGUUCUUAGAAAGAGGAGAGUUCUGAAAACCCCCUGUUUUUGUUUUAAUAAUACUAAUUUAUGUAAAUAUUUAACUAUUUGGAAAUUAAUCAUAAAUAUUGACUUUCUUAACACAUACAUUAUAUUUGUCCUUGUUACUUGGCAUAGAGGUGGAAAAUAAGUAUCCAGUGUAAUAAAUGUGUGAAACACUCCCUUUGAUCUAUUAGAAUUUUUCAUAUAUUCAAUAUAGCACAUAACAUUUUGAGCUACAGUAUUAACUUAUAUCUCUAUUUCAUCCUCCCCCUCAAGAUUGGUGGUUUCUGGAUAACAAUACCU